CAUUCUAUAAUUUCUUUUCUUUGAAUAAUAUCAUGCUUGACAGAGCACUGAAUAGUCGGUGGACCUGUGUCCUAUUGCAGUAUAUUCUCUCAUUCAUAUAUGCAUCGUCCACCUCCCUAUUUCGUGGUCUCUCAUAGUUUUAACUGCUUGUUCAAUCGUUUGCAGAAACCUGGGGUAUCAUAGCACUUCUCGAUGAAUCCUGUUUGUAUACUCACAUUUGUAUGGAUUGAAAAAGAAAGAAUGCUUGGCUGGAGACUCAUAUACCUGUAAUGGCUUCUUACAGCAUGUUUCCUGAAUCUACACAAGAAACAUUUUCUCAGAAAAUGUACCUGAGAUUUAAAAACGACAAGAGGUUCAUCAAGCCUAAGCUUUCUCGUACUAGCUUUACCAUAUCUCACUACGCAGGGGAAGAAAAACAAUUUAUCUUUAUUUUUUCUUUUGCUCAGUUUUGUUAAACUUAAAUAGCUUCUAAAAUAUUCAUUUCCUUUUAUCCUUCCAGGUGAUGAAUUUGGAUGAUCGUUCCUAAACAAAUACAAAGAUUAUGUAGUGGAAGAACAUCAGAUCUUUUGAUAGCUCCCUACUGCCCCUUUGCAGCUGGCCUAUUUCCUCCACUUCCAGAGGAAUCAUCGAAGUCAUCUAAAUUUUCUGCCAUUGGUCACGUUUGAAGGUACGAGGUUAUUUACUUUCUUCUCAGUUUUCCUACUUUGAAUGAAGUGAAAUUGUUGUUUUCUCCUACUUUUGGCUUCUCGUGUUUUUGCUUGUCCAAAACAACAUAGUAUGCAAACAGCUGCUGCUAUUGAAUCGGGGAUUGUCAUACGAGCUAAAGCAAAAACAAGACCAUUAUAUCCGUGGCCAACCUUUCUUGCACAUCAACAUCUCCAGAAAAAAAAAAAAAAAAGAUGCAUGGGAUUUCAAAGUAUUCCACAGAAACCUUAUUGGUUCCAUAAUAAGAAGCAAAGGUCCUUGCAAUCCAUUUAAUCUCUUACGCCUGCAGUUUGAAAAACUAACCAACUUGAUUUAGCAAUAUGCUUUCUCGCUUCAUGAAAAUAAAAACAAAUUGAAGGAAGAAGAAGAAAUUCUUUGCCAAUUUGUGAAACCCAAUUCAAGCCAACUACUUUCCUCCUCGUCCUCCUCCUCCUCCUCUUCUAUUGGGCUUACAAGAAUAGACCUUUCGUGAAAUCAUGGCUUCAUUGGGUGUUUUGGUUUUCCUAUCUAGGGAACCCAAAAAGAAAGAAGAACAAAUCAUACCCGUAUUUUUGUUAAGGAUUUUGUAUGCAAUUUCUAUCUUUUGAUUAACAAAAUAUACUAUUAGUUUCAAUGAGAUAUAGGCAUGAAUUUUGAUUGUUGAUUGCUGAUGUCUCGAGGGAAAGAAUAGAUGAAGAGAGAGAGGAGAAGAAGGAAGGGGGAAAACAAGGGAGUUAAAAAAACUGAUUUGUUUUUUUGUGUUAUAUUACAUAUGAGGGUAGAUUCACCUUUUUAUUUUUUUUUAAAUUUUUUAUUUAUUUAUUUUUGAAAACUAUAAUUCCUGGAACAAUAAAGAUAAAGUGAAAAAUCAAGUAAAUUUUGGGAGGGAUAGUGUAAUUUUCCCUUUUAUAUUAUUAUUCAAAAAUCAUGAUUUUAUCAAAAUAGAUUUUGGUUUAAAAUCAAAAUUCUAGGAUUAAAACCUAUUAAAAACAUGUUAUUGAUACAAAUAAAUUCUAGAUUAUUGGUUAAUAAAGUCGUUUGAAGGAUUCUGUGUAAAGAAUUGGAUCAAAAUUAGUUCAAAUCAUGGAGUUAAGACAAAAUUCUUUCCAAGAACAUGAUGAACACUGCCUAGAAACCCAGAAACCCAGCACAUUGUCAAGCCUCCAAAACCAACAUUUUUUA